GAUGAACGCUGGCGGCGUGCCUAAUACAUGCAAGUCGAGCGAACGGACGAGAAGCUUGCUUCUCUGAUGUUAGCGGCGGACGGGUGAGUAACACGUGGAUAACCUACCUAUAAGACUGGGAUAACUUCGGGAAACCGGAGCUAAUACCGGAUAAUAUUUUGAACCGCAUGAUUCAAAAGUGAAAGACGGUCUUGCUGUCACUUAUAGAUGGAUCCGCGCUGCAUUAGCUAGUUGGUAAGGUAACGGCUUACCAAGGCAACGAUGCAUAGCCGACCUGAGAGGGUGAUCGGCCACAGUGGAACUGAGACACGGUCCAGGCUCCUACGGGAGGCAGCAGUAGGGAAUCUUCCGCAGUGGGCGAAAGCCUGACGGAGCAGCGCCGCGUGAGUGAUGAAGGUCUUCGGAUCGUAAAACUCUGUUAUUAGGGAAGAACAGAUGUGUAAGUAACUGUGCACAUCUUGACGGUACCUAAUCAGAAAGCCACGGCUAACUACGUG
rnacentral:rRNA from 1 species